CCUACGGGUGGCAGCAGUGAGGAAUAUUGGUCAAUGGGCGAGAGCCUGAAGCAGCCAAGUCGCGUGAGGGAAGACGGGCCUAUGGAUUGUAAACCUCUUUUGUCGGGGAGCAAAAGACGCCGCGCGUGGAGUUCCGAGAGUACCCUAAGAAAAAGCAUCGGCUAACUGCGUUCCAUCAGACGCGGUAAUACGGAGGAUGCGAGCGUUAUCCGGAUUGAUUGGGGUAAAAGGGUGCUCAGGGGGAAGAUCAAGUGAGCGGUAAAAUUGAGAGGUUAAACCUCUUCGAGCCGUUGAAACUGGCUAGCUUGAGUGAAUGAGAGGUAUGCGGAAUGCGUGGUGUAGCGGUGAAAUGCAUAGAUAUUACGCAGAACUCCGAUUGCGAAGGCAGCUUUCCGGCGCUAAACUGACGCUCAUGCACGAAAGUGUGGGUAGCGAACAGGAUUAGAUACCCUUGUAGUC
rnacentral:rRNA from 1 species